GCAAGCCCAUCCUACAUCUCCCGGGGCAGGUGUGUUUGCAGGAGCAGACCGGGCACCAUCGUCGUUUCUGACCCCAGGAUCCUUGCGUAGCUUGAAUAACCACCUCUUCAGCCCGCCUUGCUAAGGUUACUGCAUAAUCCCUGCAUUCCCGUCAAGAAGGAUUAGCCAUCUUCUCAGGUGGGAGGAUUCCAGACUCACUGGGCUACUGUCUAGAUCUGCAGUCUCAAUAGCAAUUUUUGAAUCUACUUCCAGAUGUCUUCAAGAAUUCUUUCCUGGCCGUUGGCUCCGGACCACCCACCCCACCAUCACCCAACAACCCCAUCAUUUUGUGACUUUAACAUGGGCUUCGAGUCUUUUCAUCUGGGCUCUGAGCUGGUGCAAACCCGACUCCAUCACUGCAGGAACUUCAAGCCAACAGACGAUCCUUUCUACUCAAGAAGGUUCAUCCACGUUGUCCGCCUUGGAUUCAGCUGCCUCCACCUUAACUCCCCUGUAUGUUCCCUGACCAAUAUUGACCCAUAAAGGUAGGGACAUCUCUGCGCCCUUACUCAGCAGAAAGGAGCUACAGAAUAUGAGACCUUCCACCUUCAGCAACCAUAAAGGUUUAAGGGUCAAAAUUGUUCAGGGGGGAUACGAUGAGGGAGCGUGGGGCAAGCUGACAGCAAAGUACAGGGUAACAGCACUGGCCCCGCCCCCCACCCUCCCAUCAGAUGGGAUAUGUGUGCUAUUCCUCGGACACUCCUGGCUGCCCAAGGACAGGGGAAAGGAAAGAAAGCAGAUAGUUGGCCGAUAGAGAUGACAGUCAUGCAGGACAGGAGUCUCCUUCCGUUCACGGAUAACUUAGAAAACUGCAAGAAAAAGGCAAUCUUCUCCAUAGCCUAAUCUCCAGAAACCUAUAGACUCCGUUUCCUAGAGCCCUAAUACCACCCUCACCAAGAUGGAAGGGGGUUUAAGUGCCAGCCAUGAUGAUGUGGGAAACUAAGGCAAGUGAGAAAUUAAAUUCCCUUACUGCCUACAGCCCACUGACAAGUCCUUGAGGCCAGCAGA